rnacentral:lncRNA from 1 species
GCUGAGUGUGUUGUGGGCUUUAUCAGUUUGGAGUAGUCUUAGUUUGAUGUAUUGACUUGUAAUUUUGCCGAUGAACUUGAUGUAUCUGAACAAGUAUCUAUUGUUUCUCUUGGGGUGCUGAUCAUUGUAUAUGCAACGAGUUCUUGCUUGCAGAUCUCCAAUGGGUAGUCUUGCGAGUAGUCAUUGAGUUGGUGGUUAGUCUUCCAUGUAGACCCCAAUUGUUGCAGAUGGUUGCGGAGGCCGCGCAUGUGAAUGUAGUAACCGGUGCAUUAUUGUUGUGUAUUUACAAGGACACAUGAGUGUACUGUGAAGGACUUGUCAGUUGCAGCCUGAGCGAUUCACAUGCGAGCUUUGAUUCCUCGUGGGCAAGAUUUCACGUGGAUCUUGUCCUUGCGAAGGACAAGUUGAAUUACU